GAUGAAGAACGUAGCAAAAUGCGAUAAGUAAUGCGAAUUGCAGAAUUCAGUGAAUCAUCGAAUCUUUGAACGCACAUUGCGCCCGCUAGUAUUCUGGCGGGCAUGCCUGUCUGAGCGUCAUUUCAACCCUCGCCCCCGGCUUUUGCUGGGAGCGGUGUUGGGGAUCGGCCGCCCGUCACUGGGAGGCCGGCCCCGAAAUAGAGUGGCGACCACGCCGUGUGCUCCUCUGCGUAGUAGUAAAUCACCUCGCAGGCGGACAGCGGUGCGGCCUGCCGUAAAACCCCCAACUCUUUCUGGUUGACCUCAGAUCAGGUAGGAAUACCCGCUGAACUUAAGCAUAUCAAUAAGCGGAGGA
rnacentral:misc_RNA from 1 species